GUGCUUGCUUCGGCAGCACAUAUACUAAAAUUGGAAUGAUACAGAGAAGACUAGCAUGGCCCCUGCACAACCAUGACAGUGGUCCAUUAAAAAUUAAAAAAAAAAGA